rnacentral:rRNA from 1 species
GAUCAUGGCUCAGGACGAACGCUGGCGGCGUGCUUAACACAUGCAAGUCGAACGAUGAAGCUGGAGCUUGCUCCAGUGGAUUAGUGGCGAACGGGUGAGUAACACGUGAGCAAUCUGCCCUUGACUCUGGGAUAACUGCGGGAAACUGUAGCUAAUACCGGAUACGACACCUUGGGGCAUCCCGAGGUGUGGAAAGAAUUUCGGUCAAGGAUGGACUCGCGGCCUAUCAGCUAGUUGGUGAGGUAACGGCUCACCAAGGCGACGACGGGUAGCCGGCCUGAGAGGGUGACCGGCCACACUGGGACUGAGACACGGCCCAGACUCCUACGGGAGGCAGCAGUGGGGAAUAUUGCACAAUGGGCGCAAGCCUGAUGCAGCAACGCCGCGUGAGGGAUGACGGCCUUCGGGUUGUAAACCUCCUUUAGUAGGGAAGAAGCGAAAGUGACGGUACCUGCAGAAAAAGCACCGGCUAACUACGUG